rnacentral:rRNA from 1 species
UACAGAGGUCUCAAGCGUUGUUCGGAUUCAUUGGGCGUAAAGGGUGCGUAGGUGGCGCUGUAAGUCGGGUGUGAAAUUUCGGAGCUUAACUCCGAAACUGCAUUCGAUACUGCGGUGCUUGAGGACUGGAGAGGAGACUGGGAAUUCAUGGUGUAGCAGUGAAAUGCGUAGAGAUCAUGAGGAAGACCAGUGGCGAAGGCGGGUCUCUGGACAGUUCCUGACACUGAGGCACGAAGGCCAGGGGAGCAAACGGG